rnacentral:rRNA from 1 species
CAUUAACAAGCCGUGAAGGUCGCCCUGCAAAGGAGCGGCCUUUCACCUGGCCACCCUUGUUUACUCUUAACCUGUUGCUUUGGUGGGCCCGCCGCCAAGGCCGCCGGGGAACCUUGGUUCCCGGGCCAGUGCCCACCAAAGACCCAUGAACUCUCAAGGGUUUUUUUUGCUGUCUGAGCUAAUGCAAAUGCAAAAUCUCAUUAAAACUUUCAACAACGGAUCUCUUGGUUCUGGCAUCGAUGAAGAACGCAGCGAAAUGCGAUAAGUAAUGUGAAUUGCAGAAUUCCGUGAAUCAUCGAAUCUUUGAACGCAUAUUGCGCCCUCUGGUAUUCCGGAGGGCAUGCCUGUCCGAGCGUCAUUACUAUCUUCAAGCACGGCUUGUGUGUUGAGCAUCUGUUCUUUUCAUGGACAGGCUUGAAAUGCAGUGGCGAUGGCGAGUUUGGAGCCCGAGUGUAUGGAGCUUUGUCACGCGCUGUGAUGGCCCCGGCUCACUAUCUCCUUUACCCUAAAAUUACACAAAUCUGAUUGACCUCGGAUCAGGCAGGGAUACCC